rnacentral:rRNA from 1 species
UACGGAGGGUCCGAGCGUUAUCCGGAAUCAUUGGGUUUAAAGGGUCCGUAGGCGGGCAAUUAAGUCAGUGGUGAAAGUCUGCAGCUCAACUGUAGAAUUGCCAUUGAUACUGGUUGUCUUGAAUCGUUGUGAAGUGGCUAGAAUAUGUGGUGUAGCGGUGAAAUGCUUAGAUAUCACAUAGAAUACCGAUUGCGAAGGCAGGUCACUAACAACGUAUUGACGCUGAUGGACGAAAGCGUGGGGAGCGAACAGG